rnacentral:misc_RNA from 1 species
AAAGAAAUGGGUCCUAGACCCCACACACGCCACUCGGUAAAGAAUCGGGCCUAUAGCUCAGCUGGCUAGAGCACACGACUGAUAAUCGUGAGGUCAGUGGUUCGAGUCCACUUGGGCCCACCAAAUGGGGCUGUAGCUCAGCUGGGAGAGCACCUGCUUUGCAAGCAGGGGGUCACCGGUUCGAUCCCGGUCAGCUCCACCAAAGGGAAGAGACCCGCGCGAAGCGGGUCGGACGCUGGGGUGGAGAAGUAGGCGGCAGGAAGCGGGUAAGAGGUAACAGGACGUAGAGAGUAGGAAAGUAAAAAGAGUCCGUAGUAGUGAGUUUCUGAAUAAAGAAGCUGAGUACUACCGAUUCGAAGUAUUGAAGCGGUAUUGUUCUUUGACAGUUGAGGAAGGGAAGGCCAUGUUUGUCAUCUUGCCGAUGGCAGACCUCCAGGUGGAUGCUUGGGGAUAUAU